GAUGAACGCUGGCGGCGUGCCUAAUACAUGCAAGUCGAACGAGGUGCUUUUGUAGCAAUACGAAAGUAUCCUAGUGGCGAACGGGUGAGUAACGCGUGGAUGACCUGCCCCAAAGUGUGGGAUAACAGUCCGAAAGGAUUGCUAAUACCUCAUGUGGUUAUCGGGUUUAGAAAGCGAUAACUAAAGCAGCAAUGCGCUUUGGGAGGGAUCUGCGUCCCAUCAGCUAGUUGGUGAGGUAACGGCUCACCAAGGCGACGACGGGUAGGGGACCUGAGAGGGUGG
rnacentral:rRNA from 1 species